UACCGUGCCGAGUGUGGUAGCAGUAAUGCCCACAAAAGUUUGCUUUUGAACUUUGAACAGCUCGUAGCACGGUUUU
rnacentral:sRNA from 12 species